rnacentral:lncRNA from 1 species
CCCACUUCAACAAGAAGCUCUGGCAAAUUGGAUUUCUGCAUAUUCCAGCAUAUUAUUCAGCUUAUAGCUGACCAUUUUCCAGGCUGAUUUGUUACAGACAACCAUUUCCCAGGAAUUCCAUUUUGUAGCCCUGAACCAGAUCAGGAAGUGAUAAAACAGAAUCCAGAUGCCAACCAGCCGUGCCCAUGAGAAAUCAAUCAUAGACGAGAGAAGCUAUUUCUG